GAAUUUUGGGACUAGUCUAUACAUUGAAAGUUGCAAAAGAUCCUGGUCUUACAAUUUAAAAAUUUUGAAUAGUCAGGAGUGGCGGUAAAGUCUUUUGGCAGGCGCGCAGGUAGUCUUUUUCCUCGUCCGUUCCUUAAUAAAGAUUUAAAUCCAAACAAAUUUUAUGGUUUUUGUUUAAAAAAAAAAAUUAACUCUAAACUUGCAGUUAUUGCACAACUGAGUGAAUAACAUGAUAGUCUUAUGACAUAGCUAUCGCGAAACACUUAAUAUUUUGCUCAGCAGCGGUAGACUGCCGAUUUUCUAUCGCCCUUGCACCGAAGGCUGAAAUCGUUGGAAAAUAUUGCGAAUCUAUUUUGUGCUCAUCAGGGAGGAUUGGUUUCCUUCAAAUUUCGGAGCUUUUGGUUGAAUCACACAAACCAUAUCGGGCAAAAUGGCCAAGAACCUUGAAAACUUAAAUGGGUAUUAUUAAUGAUCGUAUUUCAUAAGACUUCAAGGCUUGGCAAAAAAGUUGAAACAGACUGAAAUCAUUUUUAAAAAUGGUGAAAUUGAAUUAUAGACGUAGCAUUUCAUGAAGUUAAGACAGAAGAUAUAAAAUAACUAUUCCAGCGGAUCCGGUUUUGUUGUUUGCUCUUAUAUUUUUCAGAAUCGGUCGUGAAGUACAUUGACGGAUAUUAAAAGAAAACACCCUAAAUCAAAAAUCUGAAGGCAAAACAAUGACUGAUAAUGCCACAAAACUAAAAUGUUACAAAAAAACUGUUUUCUGUGUUUCAAAAAUAAAACUUUCCUUUCCGUCAUUGGAAGAUCUAAUUAACUAUCUUGGUUCAACUGUUAGUACGCGUACUAUAAUAAAUAGACUGAUUGGUGUCGAUUAAAAGAACCAAAUAUUUGGAAAGGGAAAAUAUUCUGAUACUAACAUAUUUAAGAGUCUGCGUAGACUUAUAAUUUCUGGGUUAAAAUUAUAGAAAUAAAAUAAAGCAUUUAACUUAUGGUAUGUAGCUUUGUUUUAUUUUAAGCUAAAUUUGCAGAAAUGCAUACAUUAUUAAGUUUUGAGCUUACGGUUUAUAAAAAAAUACGAAUCAUAUGGGAGUGCAUCGAGCGUAACAUUGUGACGUACUUAUAAAAUUACACAGCUCAAAAAAAUGCAAUGGUCUAAUACACUGCAGACUUUAAAAUACCAUUAACACACCAAUACGUCAUAAGUAUACGAAGGUUGAAAACAAUGUUCUUGUGAUGAAUUUGAGUUUAGUUCAAUACACGUAUGUUUGUGAUUUCUUGCUGAAAUUUAUUACAUUUAUGAUAGCUUUAACUGCUUGCAAGCUGUUUUUCUAUCGGACCCAAUCCGUGCAUCCGUGCAUACUGUAAAAAUUAUACAACAGUAUGUUUAAAUCUGUAUCUGCAAGUUCGCGACAACAGCAUCAAAUAAUUUUAAAUAUUAAGAAAUCCAUCUAACCGUGAUGCAUGGCCGACAUGGGUUAUUCUGCUGGGAAAAAAGGCAAAAACUAUAAAAACUGUAAUUAAUAUAUUUGUAUGAGGAAAAAUCCUUUCCUUGCAGAUAAAAAUAAGAUAUUUAAAAACUGGAAAACCUAAUAAUAAAUGGGGAAAACAAUUGAACAAAAUGUUUGUGUAUGAUAGUAUCUAUAUUUUCAAGCGCUGUUAUUGCAAAAUGUGUUUUAUUUUACUUUUCCGCCCAUCACUUCCGCUAUUCUAUGUAUGCAUAUGUAUGUAUGUAUAAGAUUUUGUUAAACAUUUAUGAAUCGUUUAUGUAUUGUAGGAUUUAAAGUGGUUUUUCAAUUUAUUGUUGUAGCUUAUAUGGCCAUCAUAUUAUAUGUAAAUAGUUGUUCACUAAUACAUAAUUAUGUUAUUUAAAUCAUUAUUAAUUUUUUUGUAUAUAAAUUAAGGACUUAAACAUAAUAAGAAAAUUUUUUAUAAAGUGUUUUGUUUACUUGUUUCAUUACUUGAUUUUUAAAGUUUUUUACGCAAUAAUUUUAAUAUACCUUUAGUUUUUGCUGUGAUUUUUAUAUUUUGUAAAUGCUUUAACUUUAUUUGACUUCGCUUCAUCAGGAUUUACUUUCUGAAGUUAGGUUCAUACGUGAAAAAUUGUAUUUUGUUUGAAGUCAUACAUGCCUUCAAUGAUACUGUUUCAAUGUGCAAACGACUAAUGCGUCAUUGUGUUGUACUCCUGGUCGUGCGCACUCGUCCACUCAACAAAUAAGACAUGAAGCAAGUUUUCUGUACGUACGUUU
rnacentral:sRNA from 15 species